UGUGAUUCCAAACCUCCACCUAUAAGCUUAGCUACACGGAUAUUUUCUAUAUUAAAAUAAGUAGGGUUGUUAGGUAAUGUUAAAAGAACAGCUUCUGCUACUAAAUUAGCGAUUGUCUCCGAAGAUGCUAAAAUGUUCAAUAAGCUAUCGCUGUAUGUACCCCUUUUUUUAAUUCAUCAAGUUGUCGAAGAUCCGUAACACGGUUGGAAAAAUUACAAGUUAAAAAACACUACCUUCUAAAAGAGCCAAUGAUUUAUUUAAAGCGAGCUGGUACCCUUUUACUAUAUCUGAAACACUAAGUCCUUGACGUAAAAGUGUUUCCGCUUGAUAAAGUAAUUCUCCUCCAAACGUUGUGACAAAAUUUGUAACGUCACCGAAUUCUUGAUCCUGUAUACAAAUAAUGUAUUACAGCUUAGUGCUAUUGGGUUAAAUGAAAAUGGCUGACCUGCAUUUUGGAUGCCAUUGCUAAAAGCUUGGCCGCUGGGUGCUGAACUUCUAACUGUUCUAAAAUUGUUGCUGCAUCACUUGUAACGAAAAUCUUGUCAAUCUGAUUCACUAUUAGCUUAUUCAUUCCUAUCAAAUAAAAAAAUAUUUCCACGUUGCGUUUUAUUUUGUACUAGCUAUUUACGCUUCUUCUAACCCGGAAAAAUGUCUUCCACCAUCUUUUAGUAGAUUUAAAAAUCCUGGACGCGCCGCAAACUAUUCGAGAAACAUACACAAUCCAGACAGAAAGUGAGAGUUAAAAAUAACAUUGAUAAAAAAUCAUUACAUUUCCUAGGAUUAACUAACACUUACCAUAUCAAGGAAUACAAAAACCUUAUCCGACUGUCCCAAUUAGUCCCACAAGAAUGAUGAAGAGAAACAUUGCAUUAAAGAAUCCAUAUAACGCAUCCUCUUCUCAGUCAACGCAUAAUUCAACAAGGAAAAAACAUUAUAUUUG